ACGAACGCUGGCGGCGUGCCUAAUACAUGCAAGUCGAGCGGAAUGAUGAAGAAGCUUGCUUCUUCUGAUUUUAGCGGCGGACGGGUGAGUAACACGUGGGCAACCUACCUUGUAGAUUGGGAUAACUCCGGGAAACCGGGGCUAAUACCGAAUAAUCCAUUUUGCUUCAUGGCGAGAUGUUGAAAGACGGUUUCGGCUGUCACUACAGGAUGGGCCCGCGGCGCAUUAGCUAGUUGGUAAGGUAAUGGCUUACCAAGGCGACGAUGCGUAGCCGACCUGAGAGGGUGAUCGGCCACACUGGGACUGAGACACGGCCCAGACUCCUACGGGAGGCAGCAGUAGGGAAUCUUCCACAAUGGACGAAAGUCUGAUGGAGCAGCGCCGCGUGAGUGAAGAAGGUUUUCGGAUCGUAAAACUCUGUUGUAAGGGAAGAACACGUACGAGAGUAACUGCUCGUACCUUGACGGUACCUUAUUAGAAAGCCACGGCUAACUACGUG
rnacentral:rRNA from 1 species